ensembl:lncRNA
GGAGAAGCUGCUGUUGUCUCUUUGUAGGUCCAGGUCGAGGCUAACAGUCGACUUUACUGGAUGUUUUAUUGUCAAGACGUUGCUGACAGGUCUGCAGAGAUCAGAUGGAGACACAGCAGUGCAGCUAAACCAAACAUUUCCUAGCGAAGGAUUUCCACCAGGGAAUUCAGGCCCCACGGCAGCUGCAGAAACAAGAGCCCUGUACCUGUGGAUGUACUGGAGUCCAGUCCAAGAGAAACGGGUUCGGGCUCUUCAGACAGGGGCCCUACAAAGAGGCCCAUCACUGGAGGAGGGGUGGAGCGUGCCAGCGAGAGGGCCGCGGUAGCCGUGGGGACGGCAGAAAUGACAGCUGCAGGUGUCGACAUGGGCCGGGGGGGAGCAGAGGGCCCAACAGCAACUGUUAGCCUAAUGCCAGGAGGAUAAAUAAUAAAACAACUGUUAGAUAAGAACUCCCA